rnacentral:lncRNA from 1 species
CGUGUUGCUGAGCAGCGGCAGAUUUCAAUAUGACAUAUAAGCACUUUAUGGUGACUGAACUGUGAACUGUGGUUUUCUUUCUACGAAACUCCAUAAGUCACGAGCAGCAUGUUUGGCAGGGCUUUGCCAGAAAAAAAAAAAUUCUUCAGCAUUUUCGAAGAGCAUUCAAAGGUUAAAGAUGGAAGCUUUUCAAAUGCAGACUCCAGUCAAUACCAUCAGACAAAUGGGAAGCAAAAAAUAAAACAUUUAAAGACACGCAAAGAGAGAAGUCAGAGGAAGGGUAAGUGGAAGGAGACCUCCAAGACCACAUCAAAUUAUCACCACCGUCACUCUCACCGAAGUGGUAAAGACAUGCCACAUUUCCAUACAUGUGGUCACAGUGACUGUCAUUCAAGGAGACAUGCAUCGUUUCCAAGUGUUGUUCCUGCUGCACAAGAGCCCAGUAUCAUCACAGGCAGCCGCCUCAUUGGACACCACGGCCUGUUUAACAAUGACAUGAAGUCCAUUGAUAUUGAACGAUUGCUAAAUGAGCAGAGGAAACUGGAGCACAGUGUAGAGGAAGUGACAGAAAAGGAGAAUGAUGCCUUACAUCUGUCUUCAACAUCUCACAUUCCUGCUCCUGCUGAUGUUGCUAAAAACAAAGAAGACCCUGCUGGAAAGGAAGAGCAGAAGAACCUUCACUUCAAUAGUCAGGGAACAGAUAUUACGCCAGGACAGCGACCACAGCAAAAACCUGAUGAUCUCUCAUUUGAAAGCACUGUCUCAUCUAAACACAGCUCUCUCAGUGGAAUAGCAACCCAGACCAGGAAGGAUAUUGCAGAAAGAAACAGCAUGAAGACAGCAAACAAUAAGAUAAAGAGACACACUACCCCAAAGCAAACCUCAAAGAAUCAGCCGUUUUCAGUCCAGGACACACAAACUGACAGCCUCAUCACUAGCCCACUUCAACUCUCCAGCUCACCCACUGCUGACAGCUGUAACACACAGCACAGAAGAGACAACCCUGAGUAUGUGUCAAAGUCUGCCAGAGCAGUGGCAUCACGUCUGUGUGAUUGUCUGCAGUUUCCAUUUCUGAAAAGGAGAAACCUGGUGUCAGAAAGCAGAAAGGUGCUGCUGAAGUCCCUGCGAGAGAGGCAUGGAGCCUGGCUUCAGACGAACCUCAGCAAGGUCCAGCAAUACCUUAACCAAAGGGUUUAUUCUACAGAGAAAGAUGGAGGUGCAGAGCCAACGAUGGAAGAUCAGUUCUUACAACCAACAGGAAAUUGGCAUUUUAACUGGAAGGACAGUUCACAACCACAGCAAAUCCAGGAGCAGGUAAGAUGCCUCUUUUGUUUAGAGCCAAGCUAUUAUCCAUUUUUUUCUAUUAUCCUUGGUAACAAACUAGAAUUUGUUCUGAGGCUUUCAUACAUACAG